AGUGAACGCUGGCGGUAGGCCUAACACAUGCAAGUCGAACGGCAGCACAGUAAGAGCUUGCUCUUACGGGUGGCGAGUGGCGGACGGGUGAGGAAUACAUCGGAAUCUACUUUUUCGUGGGGGAUAACGUAGGGAAACUUACGCUAAUACCGCAUACGACCUACGGGUGAAAGCAGGGGAUCUUCGGACCUUGCGCGAUUGAAUGAGCCGAUGUCGGAUUAGCUAGUUGGCGGGGUAAAGGCCCACCAAGGCGACGAUCCGUAGCUGGUCUGAGAGGAUGAUCGGCCACACUGGAACUGAGACACGGCCCAGACUCCUGCGGGGGGCAGCAGUGGGGAAUAUUGGACAAUGGGCGAAAGCCUGAUCCAGCCAUACCGCGUGGGUGAAGAAGGCCUUCGGGUUGUAAAGCCCUUCUGUUGGGAAAGAAAAGCAGCAGGUUAAUACCCCGCUGUUCUGACGGUACCAAAAGAAUAAGCACCGGCUAACUUCG
rnacentral:rRNA from 1 species